rnacentral:rRNA from 1 species
AACGCGAAGAACCUUACCAAGGUUUGACAUGCAGGGAAAAGCCGUAGAGAUACGGUGUCCGUAAGGGUCCUGCACAGGUGGUGCAUGGCUGUCGUCAGCUCGUGUCGUGAGAUGUUGGGUUAAGUCCCGCAACGAGCGCAACCCUCGUCCUAUGUUGCCAGCGGGUAAUGCCGGGGACUCAUAGGAGACUGCCGGGGUCAACUCGGAGGAAGGUGGGGAUGACGUCAAGUCAUCAUGCCCCUUAAGUCUUGGGCUGCAAACAUGCUACAAUGGCCGGUACAGAGGGCUGCGAGACCGCAAGGUGGAGCGAAUCUCAAAAAGCCGGUCUCAGUUCGGAUUGGGGUCUGCAACUCGACCCCAUGAAGUCGGAGUCGCUAGUAAUCGCGAAUCAGCAACGUCGCGGUGAAUACGUUCCCGGGCCUUGUA